GUGCCAGCAGCCGCGGUAAAACGUAGGAGGCGAGCGUUAUCCGGAUUUACUGGGCGUAAAGCGCAUGCAGGUGGUUUUGCAAGUGGGAUGUGAAAGCCCCUGGCUUAACUAGGGGAGGUCGUUCCAGACUGCAAGACUGGAGGUCGGGAGAGGAAAGCGGAAUUCCCGGUGUAGUGGUGGAAUGCGUAGAUAUCGGGAGGAACACCAGUGGCGAAAGCGGCUUUCUGGCCCGCACCUGACACUAAGAUGCGAAAGCGUGGGGAGCGAACGGGAUUAGAUACCCCCGUAGUCC
rnacentral:rRNA from 1 species